CGCACACUCCUUAGAGCAAGCCCUAAAGAAUAUGCAAGGCCAAAAUAAAUAUUACAACCUUAACAUCCAUAAUAAUUAAUUUCAAAUAUAAUUCAUAAAACCUUGCAUAAUUACAAUUUAAAUUUCUUCAAUUCUCUGAUCAGAUACUAUGAUACUCUAUUUAUCCUUCUGCUCACCCGUAAAUCCAAGUCAUAGCCAAUCUAAGUCAUCCUGUAACUCUGAGAAGAAAAAGAAAGAUGAAGGGGUGUGAGCUUUACAGCCCAGUAAGAAUUCCCAUAUCACACUGAUAUAGUAAUAUA
rnacentral:lncRNA from 1 species